rnacentral:lncRNA from 1 species
CUUUUGGCUCAGUUUUUUUGAGCAUCAGUCUGAAAUGUUGUUUAUAUGAAUGUGAAAGUUAUUAAGUAGUAAUAUUUCACUAAUUUUGAAAAUUGAGAAUUCAUUUUUAGAUUAGUGAGAAAUCUGAAGAUAAUUGUGUUUAAUAGCUUAGAAUUCUUUAUGAUUAGCAACUCUGUGUUAAUAGCAAAUAACCAGAAACAGCCCAAAUGUCCAUCAACAGAAAUGGGCUAAUGAAUUCUUACAUAGAGUGAAAUUCUUUAUAGCAGUUACAGUAAAUAAGCCAUUGCUAAUGAAUACAAAAUUCAAGUUUAAGAAGGAUCCCACUUACCUUAUUUUAAAAAAAGUCUACAUUUUUAAUGUAUGUAUACAAAAUCUUAAAAUUUGACUAAGCAUAAUGGGAGAUAUUCAUUAUAUGAUUUCCUAAGCCCUAGUGGAUUCUUGCAAAGUUUCAUAAUUAAAAAAAAUUUAAAAAAAGGCCAGGUGCGGUGGCUUAUGCCUGUAAUCCCAGCACUUUGGGAGGCCGAGGCGGGUGGAUCACUUGAGGUCAGGUGUUUGAGACCAGCCUGGCCAACAUGGUGAAACCCUGUCUCAACUAAAAAUGCAAAAAUGAGCCAGGUGUGGAGGCAUGCACCUGUAAUCUCAGCUGCUUGAGAGGCUGAGGCAGGAGAAUCGCUUGAACCCAGGAGGCGGAGGUUUCAGUGAGUUGAGAUCACGCCACUGCACUCUAGCCUGGGCCACAGAGUGAGACUUUGUCUCAAAAAUAAAUAAAUAAAUAAAUAAAUAAAUAAAAAAUAAAGGAACAUGAGAGAGAAGUGGUGGGAAA